AGUGAACGCUGGCGGUAGGCCUAACACAUGCAAGUCGAACGGCAGCACAGUAAGAGCUUGCUCUUACGGGUGGCGAGUGGCGGACGGGUGCGGAAGACAUCGGAAUCUACUUUUUCGUGGGGGAUAACGUAGGGAAACUUACGCUAAUAACGCAUACGACCUACGGGUGAAAGCAGGGGAUCUUCGGACCUUGCGCGAUUGAAUGAGCCGAUGUAGGAUUAGCUAGUUGGCGGGGUAAAGGCCCACCAAGGCCACAAUCCGUAGCUGGUCUGAGAGGGUGAUUCGACAGACUGGAUCUGAGACACGGCCGAGACUCCGACGGUGGGACGCAGUGGGGAAUAUUGGACAAUGGGCGCGAGCCUGAUCCAGCCCUACCGCGUGGGUCAAGAAGGAGUUCGGGUGCUAGAGCCAUUAUGUUGGGAGAGAUAUGCAGCAGUUUAAUACCCCGCUGUUCUGACGGUACCCAAAGAAUAAGUACCGGCUAACUUCGUG
rnacentral:rRNA from 1 species